AAGAUCCCAGGCUGGACAGUCCCUCAUCGAAUGCACCUUGUGGAACUCAAAUGGAAAACUUGACUUUCUCGAAGACUAAAGCAACUGCGUUAUGCAGGUAAUGAGGAAUUAAACAGUUUGAGUUAUUUUUUAGUUUAUUUCAGACCACAAAGUUAUAAGAAACAGACACAGAGGUUUGAUGCUGAAAAUAUAUUGAAAUAGUUUUCUAAAGAAGAGAUGUCAUGUUAACAUGAAAUAUCACUGUGGCGUCACGAAUUUAACAGGUGUGGGGGUCUGCCAACAGUGGUAUCCAUUUCCUGGCUGCCAUCCAAGCUACAGAUGAAAUUUUAGGUACUUUCUACUGCAAAUUAAAUGCUCUCCAAUGGUCUCUGCAUUCAUCAUAUGGGUUAUUAGUGAAAUUAUUGGGCAGCUUUUGCUAAUAAUCAUCUAGGUUUCUGAACUUAGAAUUCAGCACUUCCACAUCAUUCUGUGAAGACUGCCUAGUUCACCAGACAAGAUAAUUGCAUGCCCUGUAUUGCAAAGUUGCCGUACCUGGAUAAAUGCAAAUGCGCAAAUGCCAUGAAUAAAUACAGAACUAGAAUGGAAACUUGAAAGCGGCAAUCAACACAUGAAUUAGGAUCCAGGCCAUACUAGUCGGAGCUUGCUCUUUUACUCUGGAUCACCUGCUUACUGCAGCUCACUCCCUUCUCUUUAUCCGGCCCUGAUCUCUCCCACAUUAAAAAAAGGACAUCAGGUACUCUUUUUAUCGCCCCAAAGGAUGUGAGCUCUCUAUUCUUUGACCUCAUCACACUUUGUACCUUUCACAGAAGUCCCUCUUGAUCUGUGCUGUGUUCUGGUUAUCCAUGUGCAUCUCAUCCUUGUACUCACCAGCCAUGCUGGAAGAUGUAAAUUGAAUAAUAAAACUUUCCGUGUUUUGCAGUUUGUCUGAGGGUUGCUCACCACGAAUGUUGCCUGGUGCAAUGAUGCCUGACUCUUAAACAUGUGGUUUCUGGAGGAAAUUCCGUCAUUAUAUUCUUUCCUAAAAAUCUGCAUCCCACUUUGGUAUAUCUCCUUGAAACAACUUCCCUAUAAACUUCAAGGAGUUGGCGAUUAAUUUCCACGGUGGAAGUGUUUGUCUUGUGUAAAGUCUAAGGAGGCCGUAUGCCGGCUCAGAAUUUGUUCUAAUAAAAGGAAACCCCUGGAACAGAAGCACGCAAUUUUGGGUGUUCAUGAAAUAUAGAGAGGAUAAGCAAUGCCCAGUUUGAUUCUGGACAAACUGCAGAUGGACGUUGAGUCCUAGACAUGUUCUCUUAUUUCUCAUAGUAAUUAAUGAAUUUUUCACUUCUUGUUAUAAAAAUGAAGAUCAAAACAAAGCAAAGCUACAACAGGGCCCUGUAAACUUUGAUGUUUUCUGGAAAUGUAUCUUCAAGGGUUGGCAACAACAGGACAUAAAUAUUAACAGCUGGCAUUUGAAUCAUGUUCCUAUUUGAUGAGGCAGGUUUUAUCAGCCCUACUUGAGAGAAGAGAAAACUUCAGGCACUGAGGUCGCCCCAGCUACCCCAAGAUAUUAAGAUAUGCUUGCGACAAAGCAAUAGCAACAAGCAAGUAAGCGACAAGAAAGCACAGACCAACGGAGCUGAACAGAGGACUGGAUGACAGUCCCAGGUACGCAUGGGAACUUCAUACAUGAUAAAAGUGACAUAACAAAUCAAUGGGAAGAGGAUGGAUCGUGACACGCAUGCCUCUCUGUAUGAGGAAAAAUAAAACUGCAUCCUACUUAAUUCCAUGGAAGAGCGGACUACAUUCCCAGGGGGAUUAAAGACCUACAUGUGGACGGUAAAACUAAAAAGUUAAUGGAAGAAAAUGAGGAGAAUGUGCACAGCAGAGCUGAACGCUGCCUGGUCUCUCUGCGCCAUCCUCUCGCCUUCUGGGGCUACAUAGACAAUGCUCCGCUGCUGUUCAUAGGGUUUUCAUGGCCAAUUUUUCAGAAGUGGGUGGCCAGGUCCUUCUUCCUAGUCUGCCUUAGCCUGGAAGCUCUGCUUAAACCUGUCCACCACGGGUGACCCUGCUGGUGUUUGAAAUCUCGGUGGCAUAGUGUUCAGCAUCACAGCAACACACAGCUGCCACAGUAUGACAACCGACAGACGGGUGAUGUGGUUCCCCGACAGGGACGCAAACCGUGGGCUGCGGCAGUGAGAAUGCCAGAUCUUAACCACUAGGAAGCAUAGUAGAUGACCACGAAAAAGCAUAGUAGUGAUACUCAGACAUGUUAGUGAUCAGAGGAAUGCAGAUUAAAACAAUAAUGAGGUAUUUUGUAGUUACUGCCAUGGCACCAAUCCAGCGUGGCGGGAUGUGGAGAUAUGGGACCCCCAUGCCCUGCUGGGGGAUGCAGGUGUGGGAGCCAUUCUGGUACUCCUUACUCCAUUUAUGCCUACUCAGCCCCUUUGACUAGGGUCACUGCACAUCUCAGUUUGCCCAGGACAGUCCAGUUUAUGCCUCUUGUCCUGGUGUAAUUAUUAAUAGUAGCCCCUUUCAUUCUAUGAAUUGUCCUUUUUUGGGUGACAAGUUCUGGGGCCACCUUCCUGGGAUGCAACAAUUUCACUCACGGUUAUACAUCCCAGUGAAAUCCUUGGGUCCAUAGGGACCUGUAUGCAAUAUUCACGGCAUCUGUGGAGGUAACUGGAUUAUCUAUCCUGGGAGGGAACGCAGGCGACACGUGUUAGAUACACAUACAGAGGAUUGUGCAGGUGAGAGGAGGAAGCAAUUAGAUGAACGUGCAGCAACAGGGGUGGAUGAUAAAAGCAGCGCUGAGGGGGGGAGAAAAGAAUCAGGAGAUACACAACCUUAUAGCAUUUAUACAAAUUUAAAGUACGCGUAUGUAAAACAAUACGCAUUUUGCAGAAAAUACCUAUAAACAAAGAGAUACACAUUCAUCACCUUAGGAUGAUGAGGAAACAGAAAAUGGGAAUAAAAAGGAGUGAUUACAACAUAAAGAGCUGGAUUCAAUGUUAACAGGUAGAAUCUUCUGUGAAAGUUCUCUGGGAUAAAUGUUCAGUGAGUCAUCCAUUGCUCUCUCUCCAUUGCUACCAUUUGCUAAGAACUCUCAGUGCUAUGCAGAGUCACAAAGGAGAACAUUCUGGUUGAUUCAACCACAUUGAUGGAAUAAAGAUGUUGAUUGAGCCCUGCUCCGUGUCAGACACUGAGGCAGACACCAGGGAAUAAGGGCAAAUGUCUUCAAGGAGCCAUAACCAAGUUCCUGCCUUAAAUUAAAACACUUUUACUAACGAAAGUCUCUCUUUGAUGUAACUAACCAUAACGUAAAUAUCUGGACCCAGUAAGUCUGGUCUCAAAUGUGUUGCGAGUUGGUGCAGUACUCAGAGAGAAUAGAGUCCAUUCAUCACGCAGGGGAAGCUUGAUUCCUGAGCAGUGUUUUAAAAGAGGAGGAAGACAUAGUUGCUGAAGACGGAUAUUCCUGAUUGAGAAAAUGAGAGAAGCCAGGAGAGAAUGGAAGUGUUUCUAGGGGCGGCGGGAGCAAUGGGAGUGAAGGGUAACAGAGGACCUGCCUGGCUAGAGCAAAGGCCAGCCUCUCUCAGAUAUUGCAGGAAUCAACAACAGAGAUAAAAAGCUUUCCUGGCUGAGAGCACCUUGAAAUCCUUAAUAAAAGGAAGUUUUCGUUUGUUUCAGGAGGCACUCAGAGGACAAGAGCAGGAAAUUUAUGGCACCAAAAUGACACUUGAAGGAUGAUCCUUCUCUUCAGCUUGCAUGGAACAGCCUGGGGCAGAGAGAUUAGAGGCAUUUGUUGCAGUUUCAUGGAGCCUAGUAAAUAAUGCUUUUCUUCCCCAUCCCAGUUCUGAAACAACUGAGAAAAAAACCUGAAAGCUUUAUUGCUGACAAAGCCACUACUGGGUAUUGUGGCCUAGAUCUGUGGACGUCCUAAAACUGCAUCCCAGAAUUAAACCGAAUGUGCCACCUUGCAGGAGGCAGCCCUGCCCCAGAGGGUCUCCAGGAUGGGGCCAGGCCCUACAACACAGACGGCUUGCAGGGGCAGAGCAGUCCUCUUUGUCCGCAGGCUGGCUCCCCAGAGAAAGAGAGAGAAAGGGCCAGACUGCAUGUGACUGGGUCCUCCUUCCAAAAGCAUUGGUCAGAUCAUGUGAGGCCUUCUCCAUUGAGGGGACGCGGGCGCCUGGCGUGUUACCCUCAUGGAGCUCCCUCAGAGGGAAGGAAAUAGCCUGUCUUCCACGUGGAAGCAAAGUCUUCCUUAGUUAUGGGAUCUUCUCAGUUGCGAGUUCUAGAAAGCUAUGGCCGGAUCUUGAGACAAAGGGAAGAGAACAGGUGACACCAGAGUUCUGAGCUCCGGGAGAAUCACGGAACCCAGUUUGUCAGCAUUCCUAUGUUUCAUCCCCACCUGCCAGUUAGCCCUCGUCCUAAUGUCUAGGAAACAGAGGAUGACAACCCUGCGUCACUCCACUCUGGGACUUCAAAUAGCCUUUUGAUUGUGGAUGGGCUGCUUUGCUUUUUCUUUCUUAAAAGUACUUACGAAAUGAAAGCGAGUCUCAGGAAAUGCAUGCCUGAUGGCCCACACUUGCUGUAGGUGGGCCCAGGACGAGAAAGGUGCUCUAAGAUGGCCAGGUGCCUUUGGAAGAAAGCUGCCUGGAAUGACGGUGACUCUGUGCCCUCUACCCGCGCAGUCUUCCAGGUCGUCUCUGUGGACCCUCAGAGGGGGGUUUUGGCAACAGCAAUGAGCAGUCAGAAUUGGCCAUUGACUGAGAUGGUGGGACAUUGCCAGUCUAGAUGCAAAACACAACUGUGCUGGCAAGGAAAUGUGCAGAAACUGGAAGCCACUCUUUCUCAUUGAGUGAGCAUGCGUGAGGAAGAAAGGGCAGAAGAGGGGCUGUGCAGACAGCUUGGGAUGGCGCCAGGGCAUCAGCACGGAGAGGGCCUGCUGGGAAGGACAAGCUGUGGCCAAUCACUCAGGGUGUAGUGUCCACCACAAACGAGGGGACCCCUUCCUCAAACAUCCCUUAAGUCUAAGACAUUGAGUUACCAACUGUGACAAUUCCCAAAAUGGAAAGCAUGACCAGAAGGACUGACUUCAUGUAUGCACAGAAUGGAAAGAUGGUGUGGCAAGGCCUGGGGCCAGCCUGUGUGUUUUCCACCACAUCCAGACACGUGGAGAGCAGCCCCUGCCAGCAAGGUCAUGCCGGCUGUGACAGCACUUGAGAACUGAGUGGGGUGUCACAUGGCACCAGGUUGAUCCCAUGUGUACGACGCAUAAUCAAGCACCUCUAAAUAAACACAGCACCUGGCAGUGGAUGUACACACCCAGCCUGCAGACGUGUUUUGUCUGGUUUGCAGGGUGUUUUGAAAAUUUUUGUAACUCAUUGCUAGCGUUUAAGAAGUGGGAGAUUUCACAGUAAAAUCUGGAUUUCAAGCUUUUCUUGAAAGUUAGAUGUGUGGCAGGACAGGGCCCACAUUCCAGCAUGGCAACAGCCAGUGGCAGAAGCUGAGAGGCAGCCAGACUGUCCUGCCUCUUCACUGACCACUGUCCUUCAGUCUGGCUGCUUCCCUCCUAGGACAAAACUGCCGGCUGCCGCUAGCUCUGUGUCUGCCAGCGCGGGCUGCAGGCAUGUGCCGACAGUCAUGGUUAAUGGCGGAGUCGGGACCAGCUCCAGAUCUUACAGUGGUCUUUGGACUCCACCACCCAGCCAUCCAUGCAUUCCCGAUCAAAUUGUUGGGGGUCACUUGAGGACCCAGUCUAAAGAGGUGGCUUGGCAUUGCAGAUUGGCGAAGUGACAAUGCCGAUUUCACGGAAAUUCAUGGGAAAUCUUGUAAACCCCCAACAGCCAAAGGCCAAGUUUUAUGAAGUGUAAACUUUAGGGGUUUCAUCUGUCUUGCUCCCCAAUACAGCUCAUUGCUUGACAAGGAGUUGGAGGACAAUAAAUAUUUGUUGAGUGAAGUAUGUGGUCCAUGUUUCAGCCUAAAGCAUUGCUCAAGAUGUUAUAAAGCUGAGUACAUUCUGGAGUGAGUCCUUCUGCUACUUGGUAAGAUCCAGCCGGGUCAGCCAACAUUCAUCACCUGCCACAGAAAUUUGUCUGCCCGAUUCGCAAACGGCUUUUUAAAAAAAAUUGUUAGGCGCCGGUUCUCCAGUUUACAUGUCAGAUCUUUAGGAUCCAGACAUCUAAAGCUCAGUGAAAUAUCGUAGUCACAACAGAGAGCACACAGGGCUCUGUGUUCUAUUCGGUCCCAUAAAUAUUUACUGAACUCCCAUUAUGUGCAAGGCUGUGUCCUAGGAACUCGAGACACCGAGAAGCAGACGCUAGCCUCACCUUCAAGGAGCUCACAGUUUUUGAGUCAACGGCAAUCCAAACGGAUGCUAAAACCCUUGUGUCACGCUGGGCAUUUCCGGCGCACGAACUGCUUGCUUUAUUGUUAGCUUUUGACCAUUCAAAAAGAAAAAGAUGAAAGAAAAAGAAAUUUAUGAUGAUUUUUAAAUGUUUACUGUUUAUGUUCUGCAACCAAACACCUAAUGAAUAAAUCUAAUUUACUUGGGAGACAGGUUGUUUCACAUAAAUGGAUCUUUUUUCAUAUAAAACAUUAAACCACACAGUGG
ensembl:lncRNA